GUCGAACGGAGAUUAUACGCAGAGGCGAUUUCGGUCAAAUCAUGUGUAAUCUUAGUGGCGGACGGGUGAGUAACGCGUGGGUAACCUGCCUUACACUGGGGGAUAACACUUAGAAAUAGGUGCUAAUACCGCAUAAGCGCACGAAGCCGCAUGGAUUUGUGUGAAAAACUCCGGUGGUGUAAGAUGGACCCGCGUCUGAUUAGCUUGUUGGCGGGGUAACGGCCCACCAAGGCGACGAUCAGUAGCCGGCCUGAGAGGGUGGACGGCCACAUUGGGACUGAGACACGGCCCAAACUCCUACGGGAGGCAGCAGUGGGGGAUAUUGGACAAUGGGGGGAACCCUGAUCCAGCGACGCCGCGUGAGUGAAGAAGUAUUUCGGUAUGUAAAGCUCUGUCAGCAGGGAAGAAAGAAAUGACGGUACCUGACCAAGAAGCCCCGGCUAACUACGUGCCAGCAGCCGCGGUAAUACGUAGGGGGCAAGCGUUAUCCGGAAUUACUGGGUGUAAAGGGAGCGUAGACGGUUAAGUAAGUCUGGAGUGAAAGGCCGGGGCCCAACCCCGGGACUGCUCUGGAAACUAUUCAACUUGAGUGCAGGAGAGGUAAGCGGAAUUCCUAGUGUAGCGGUGAAAUGCGUAGAUAUUAGGAGGAACACCAGUGGCGAAGGCGGCUUACUGGACUGUAACUGACGUUGAGGCUCGAAAGCGUGGGGAGCAAACAGGAUUAGAUACCCUGGUAGUCCACGC
rnacentral:rRNA from 1 species